rnacentral:rRNA from 1 species
UACGAAGGGGGCUAGCGUUGCUCGGAAUCACUGGGCGUAAAGGGUGCGUAGGCGGGUCUUUUAAGUCAGGGGUGAAAUCCUGGAGCUCAACUCCAGAACUGCCUUUGAUACUGGCGAUCUUGAGUCCGGGAGAGGUGAGUGGAACUGCGAGUGUAGAGGUGAAAUUCGUAGAUAUUCGCAAGAACACCAGUGGCGAAGGCGGCUCACUGGCCCGGUACUGGACG